ACCAAAAAGCCGUCGUGGAAACUUUACGCCUUCUAUAUAUGGAGACGUUCGUGUGGUCUUAAACCCCGACGUCAAACCGUUGGUCGUAAAACCUCGCAUAACCUAAUCCUAAGGUCGAAGUGUUGCUCUUCGCACCCCACGCCUCGAUGCGUACAGUGGUCGGAGCUUCACUACUCCCUCGACCUCCACAGCAUACCGCACACUAGCUUUCAAGCUCUGUGCGAUCCUAGCCGCUCUGCUGCCACUCAUGGCAAUGGAGCUUUAUUUGCCAUCUUUUUCAUAUUCGUACACAGUACAACAAAUUCUAGCGGCAUCCAAGGAGUUGACAUGGACCCAGAUGGCUACGCUGAACCAGCGGAAAAUCUUAAGGCACAAGGCAAGACAUAA
rnacentral:lncRNA from 1 species